AAACUUCGCAAUGCACGAAAGUGCGACGAGGCUACUUCGAGUGCCGUCCGCUGAGGAUGGCUUUUGCCAAGUCUAAAUAGCUUGGAGAAUAAGGGGAGGGCAAGUCUGGUGUCAGCCGCCGCGGUAAUACCAGCUCCCCGAGUGGUCGGGAUGAUUAUUGGGCCUAAAGCAUCCGUAGCCGGUUCCGUAGGUCUCCUGUUAAAUUCAACGGCUCAACCGUUGAGCUGCAGGAGAUACCGCGGGGCUAGGAGGCGGGAGAGGCAGACGGUACUCCGUGGGUAGGGGUAAAAUCCUCUGAUCCUCGGAAGACCACCAGUGGCGAAGGCGGUCUGCCAGAACGCGCUCGACGGUGAGGGAUGAAAGCUGGGGGAGCGAACCGG
rnacentral:rRNA from 1 species